rnacentral:rRNA from 1 species
UUAUUUGAGAGUUUGAUCCUGGCUCAGGAUGAACGCUGGCGGCGUGCCUAACACAUGCAAGUUGAGCGAUUUACUUCGGUAAAGAGCGGCGGACGGGUGAGUAACGCGUGGGUAACCUACCCUGUACACACGGAUAACAUACCGAAAGGUAUGCUAAUACGGGAUAAUAUAUUUGAGAGGCAUCUCUUGAAUAUCAAAGGUGAGCCAGUACAGGAUGGACCCGCGUCUGAUUAGCUAGUUGGUAAGGUAACGGCUUACCAAGGCGACGAUCAGUAGCCGACCUGAGAGGGUGAUCGGCCACAUUGGAACUGAGACACGGUCCAAACUCCUACGGGAGGCAGCAGUGGGGAAUAUUGCACAAUGGGCGAAAGCCUGAUGCAGCAACGCCGCGUGAGUGAUGAAGGCCUUCGGGUCGUAAAACUCUGUCCUCAAGGAAGAUAAUGACGGUACUUGAGGAGGAAGCCCCGGCUAACUACGUGCCAGCAGCCGCGGUAAUACGUAGGGGGCUAGCGUUAUCCGGAUUUACUGGGCGUAAAGGGUGCGUAGGCGGUCUUUCAAGUCAGGAGUGAAAGGCUACG